rnacentral:rRNA from 1 species
AGUGAACGCUGGCGGCAGGCCUAACACAUGCAAGUCGAACGGCAGCACAGCAGUAGCAAUACUGUGGGUGGCGAGUGGCGGACGGGUGAGGAAUACAUGGGAAUCUACCCUGUCGUGGGGGAUAACGUAGGGAAACUUACGCUAAUACCGCAUACGACCGAGAGGUGAAAGCGGCGGACCGCAAGGCGUCGCGCGGCUGGAUGAGCCCAUGUCGGAUUAGCAGUUGGCGGGGUAAAGGCCCACCAAGGCGACGAUCCGUAGCUGGUCUGAGAGGAUGAUCAGCCACACUGGAACUGAGACACGGUCCAGACUCCUACGGGAGGCAGCAGUGGGGAAUAUUGGACAAUGGGCGCAAGCCUGAUCCAGCCAUGCCG